CCCCUUCACAUCCCCUCCCCGUCCCCCUAUAUUCCCCGUGCCGGCCUCGUGUCGGCUAUGGCGAUAAACGGCCGAUGUAAUAAGCCAUUCGGACCCGGGGGCGGUACCCGGCGCCUCCACCAUGAACCGCCGCGCCCAGUCUUGGAUUUCGGGGCGGUUUUUGAUGGGGGCGAAAUAGGAUCGACGAGGGUGUAAAGAUCGGACUUUUGCCCGGCAUGGUAGCCACCGUUAUCGGGCCAAACUUAUAGUUGCCAACGACAACUAUGCUGAGGCGCGUCUCGCUGCUUAAUGCGGCGCGAUAGUCUCGAACAAAGCCCUGUGGGUUAGCACCUUCAGGCGGGGUCCGGAGGCACCUGGCAACAGAAGCCUCCACU
rnacentral:tmRNA from 1 species